UACAGAGGGUGCAAGCGUUGCUCGGAAUUAUUGGGCGUAAAGGGUAUGUAGGUGGUCUCAUUUGUCAGGGGUGAAAGCCUUGGGCUUAACCCAAGAAGUGCCUUUGAAACGGUGAGACUGGAGUCCUGGAGAGGGUCGUGGAAUUCCCGGUGUAGCGGUGAAAUGCGUAGAGAUCGGGAGGAACACCAGCGGCGAAGGCGGCGACCUGGACAGGUACUGACACUCAACUACGAAAGCGUGGGGAGCAAACAGG
rnacentral:rRNA from 1 species